ensembl:snRNA U6 U6 spliceosomal RNA
UUGCUCAUUUCAGCAGCACAUAUACUAAAAUUGAAACGACACAGAGAAGAUUAGCAUGGCCCCUGCACAGGGGUGACACGCAAAUUCAUGAAGCAUUCCCUAUUUUU